rnacentral:rRNA from 1 species
GCCGGGGCUUCUUCUGCGGGUACCGUCAUCAUCUUCCCCGCUGAAAGGGUUUUACAACCCUAAGGCCUUCUUCACCCACGCGGCAUGGCUGGAUCAGGGUUGCCCCCAUUGUCCAAUAUUCCCC